rnacentral:rRNA from 2 species
AUUUUGGUCGCCAACGAGUGGCGGACGGGUGAGUAACACGUAGGUAACCUGCCCAGAAGCGGGGGACAACAUUUGGAAACAGAUGCUAAUACCGCAUAACAGCGUUGUUCGCAUGAACAACGCUUAAAAGAUGGCUUCUCGCUAUCACUUCUGGAUGGACCUGCGGUGCAUUAGCUUGUUGGUGGGGUAACGGCCUACCAAGGCGAUGAUGCAUAGCCGAGUUGAGAGACUGAUCGGCCACAAUGGGACUGAGACACGGCCCAUACUCCUACGGGAGGCAGCAGUAGGGAAUCUUCCACAAUGGGCGCAAGCCUGAUGGAGCAACACCGCGUGAGUGAAGAAGGGUUUCGGCUCGUAAAGCUCUGUUGUUAAAGAAGAACACGUAUGAGAGUAACUGUUCAUACGUUGACGGUAUUUAACCAGAAAGUCACGGCUAACUACGUGCCAGCAGCCGCGGUAAUACGUAGGUGGCAAGCGUUAUCCGGAUUUAUUGGGCGUAAAGAGAGUGCAGGCGGUUUUCUAAGUCUGAUGUGAAAGCCUUCGGCUUAACCGGAGAAGUGCAUCGGAAACUGGAUAACUUGAGUGCAGAAGAGGGUAGUGGAACUCCAU